rnacentral:rRNA from 1 species
ACGAGAGAAUUGCUAGCUUGCUAAUAAUUCUCUAGUGGCGCACGGGUGAGUAACACGUGAGUAACCUGCCCCCGAGAGCGGGAUAGCCCUGGGAAACUGGGAUUAAUACCGCAUAGUAUCGAAAGAUUAAAGCAGCAAUGCGCUUGGGGAUGGGCUCGCGGCCUAUUAGUUAGUUGGUGAGGUAACGGCUCACCAAGGCGAUGACGGGUAGCCGGUCUGAGAGGAUGUCCGGCCACACUGGAACUGAGACACGGUCCAGACACCUACGGGUGGCAGCAGUCGAGAAUCAUUCACAAUGGGGGAAACCCUGAUGGUGCGACGCCGCGUGGGGGAAUGAAGGUCUUCGGAUUGUAAACCCCUGUCAUGUGGGAGCAAAUUAAAAAGAUAGUACCACAAGAGGAAGAGACGGCUAACUCUGUGCCAGCAGCCGCGGUAAUACAGAGGUCUCAAGCGUUGUUCGGAAUCACUGGGCGUAAAGCGUGCGUAGGCUGUUUCGUAAGUCGUGUGUGAAAGGCGCGGGCUCAACCCGCGGACGGCACAUGAUACUGCGAGACUAGAGUAAUGGAGGGGGAACCGGAAUUCUCGGUGUAGCAGUGAAAUGCGUAGAUAUCGAGAGGAACACUCGUGGCGAAGGCGGGUUCCCGGACAUUAACUGACGCUGAGGCACGAAGGCCAGGGGAGCGAAAGGGAUUAGAUACCCCUGUAGUCCUGGCAGUAAACGGUGCACGCUUGGUGUGCGGGGAAUCGACCCCCUGCGUGCCGGAGCUAACGCGUUAAGCGUGCCGCCUGGGGAGUACGGUCGCAAGAUUAAAACUCAAAGAAAUUGACGGGGACCCGCACAAGCGGUGGAGUAUGUGGCUUAAUUCGAUGCAACGCGAAGAAACUUACCUGGGCUU